rnacentral:rRNA from 1 species
UCUAUACAUGACUCUGCGCAUAUCAAUAAGCGGAGGAAAAGAAACUAACAAGGAUUCCCUUAGUAACGGCGAGUGAAGCGGGAAGAGCUCAAAUUUGAAAUCUUCAAGGUUCUACCUUGACGAAUUGUAGUUUAUAGAAGUGUUUUCUGUUAGUAGGAGUGGCAAAAGGUUCUUUGGAAUAGGACAUCAUAGAGGGUGAGAAUCCCGUAUUUGGUCAUUCCUUCUAGCGUUGUGAUACACUUUCAACGAGUCGGAUUGUUUGGGAAUGCAGUCCAAAAUGGGUGGUAAAUUUCAUCUAAAGCUAAAUAUUGGCGAGAGGACCGAUAGCGAACAAGUACCGUGAGGGAAAGAUGAAAAGAACUUUGAAAAGAGAGUUAAACAGUACGUGAAAUUGUCAAAAGGGAAGCGUUUGACACCAGUGUUGUUUUUCCGAAAAUCAAUUACGAAUGUUUUGCUUUUUAGGAAGUUAUGACUUCAUCGGCUUGCUUCUCUCUUUACGAAGCUUUCUUAAUGCACUUUUCGGUUAACAAGUCAACAUCAAUUUCUUUUGUUGUAAAAGGGUACGAGGAAGGUGGCUUUCUUUUCGGAGAAAGUGUUUAUAGCCUUGUACCUCUGCAAUCGGAGAGAUUGAGGUCUGCAGCGUAGAUCCUUCGGGGUUAGAUACAUUUGUGCUAAGUUAUAGCUUUUCAUAGACAACUUGUUGACUAUGUUUAGUCUUGUAGCUUACUCGCUUAUGCUAUUUUACCUACGCUUAGGAUGUUGAUAGUCACAGCGUGUAC